GCCUCCAGGACGACGAUCCGGUAACUGGAUCUGAGAGGAUGAUCAGAUCACACAUGGUAACUGAGACACGGAUCCAUCACCUCCGUACGGGAGGCAGCGGUGGGGAAUAUUGGACAAUGGGCGAAAGCCUGAUCCACGCCAUGCCGCGUGUGUGAAGAAGGUCUUCGGAUUGUAAAGCACUUUAAGUUGGGAGGAAGGGCAGUAAGUUAAUACCUUGCUGUUUUGACGUUACCAACAAAAUAAGCCCCGGCUAAUUUCGUGCCAGCACCCGCGGUAAUACAAAGGGUGCAAGCGUUAAUCGGAAUUACUGGGCGUAAAGCGCGCGUAGGUGGUUCAGCAAGUUGGAUGUGAAAUCCCCGGGCUCAACCUGGGAACUGCAUCCAAAACUACUGAUCUAGAGUACGGUAGAGGGUGGUGGAAUUUCCUGUGUAGCGGUGAAAUGCGUAUAUAUAGGAAGGAACACCAGUGGCGAAGGCGACCACCUGGACUGAUACUGACACUGAGGUGCGAAAGCGUGGGGAGCAAACAGGAUUAUAUACCCUGGUAGUCCACGCCGUAAACAUGUCCACUAGCCGUUGGGAUCCUUGAAUCAUAGUGGCGCAUCUAACGCGAUAAGUCCACCGCCUGGGGAGUACGGCCGCAAGGUUAAAACUCAAAUGAAUUGACGGAAUCCUAGUG
rnacentral:rRNA from 1 species